GUCUACGGCCAUGCCACCCUGAACGUGUCCAGUGUUGUCUGAUCUUGGAAGCUAAGCAGGAUCAGGCCUCUUUAGUACUUGUAUGGGAGACCACCUAGGAAUACCAAGUGCUGUAGGCA
rnacentral:rRNA from 1 species